UGAAUGUCAUAUAAUUCAAAUCAAUAUCUAUUGUCAAAUAAUUCCUUUUCAAUGAGCAACUUUUAUAAGUAAAAGAAAUUCAAUCUUCGCGAUGAAUUUAAUAAAAUAAAACCUGAUGUUUUUGUCCGUAUUAGGGAUUCCUUCAGUUGUAGCUAAUAUAGUAUUUCGGUGGCCGUUUACGUUUGGGCGCCCCCUGUCACAGUGCCUUCGAACGUCGCCCUAACCUAUCUUUUGCGAAACGUCACGAUUUUCUUCCGAACGCCGUCGUUUCGUGGUAAAUAAUUGAAUAAUUAUGGCACCGUAUUACGGACAAGCUCGAAAAUCUCGCUGUGUCACAGAAAUGACUCGAAAAUAAAAAAGGCUCGUAGGUGUGAUUUAUUCUUUUCUUACUACAUCAGAUCAUUUUACGAUAUAAUAUGCAUUUCGUGCGACGGAGUACCGUUUAUAAUCGAUUUAUGUGAAACAGUUCCGUAAGCAUUUCUUAAGGAUUUAGAUAAGAAUUUCUAUCAAGAUCGAAGACGCUCCGUGCAUACUUCGAUAAAUAUUUUCGGCAUAUGAAAUUUAUCUUAAAUCUUAUACGUGGAUAAUUAUAUUUAAUUUGAAUGUUUAGAAUAAAAAAUACAAAUCAAGUUUCUUCGGAGUGUUUUUUCAGGAACACGACGGUAAACAGUAGCCAGAUCUGAAUCUGUACUACGUCACUUAAUUACUCGUUAUCGUACGAUGAUGACUAACUGAUAAUCGAGCUUCGUGCAUUCUUGCGAUGAUAAGGAACAAUGCGUGAAAAAAGCAGGUGGAAUUGCGAUCGCAAGAUGAAACUUCGUUCAAUCAAAAAAAA